GCCGGCGUAGCUUAGUCUGGUAGAGCAACGGCCUGUUAAGCCGUAGGUCAAGGUUGUGAGAUAACUUUCGCCACCGCCA
rnacentral:tRNA from 1 species